rnacentral:rRNA from 1 species
UAUCUUCGGAUAUGAGUAGAGCGGCGGACGGGUGAGUAACGCGUAGGAAUCUACCUAGUAGAAGGGGAUAGCCCGGGGAAACUCGGAUUAAUACCGUAUACCUCCUAAGGGAGAAAGAGGGCCUCUCUUGAUGCUCUCGCUAUUAGAUGAGCCUGCGUAAGAUUAGCUUGUUGGUAAGGUAAUGGCUUACCAAGGCUACGAUCUUUAGCUGGUCUGAGAGGACGAUCAGCCACAUUGGGACUGAGACACGGCCCAGACUCCUACGGGAGGCAGCAGUGGGGAAUAUUGGACAAUGGGCGCAAGCCUGAUCCAGCCAUACCGCGUGUGUGAAGAAGGCCUUCGGGUUGUAAAGCACUUUAAGCAGGGAGAAAAAGUUAUAAGUUAAUACCUUAUGACCGUGAUGUUACCUGCAGAAUAAGCACCGGCUAAUUCCGUGCCAGCAGCCGCGGUAAUACGGAAGGUGCAAGCGUUAAUCGGAAUUACUGGGCGUAAAGCGCGCGUAGGUGGUUUGUUAAGUUGGAUGUGAAAGCCCUGGGCUCAACCUAGGAACUGCAUCC